GAUAUCUUUUUUUUCUCUCAACUCUUAGGAUAGUUUCCAUGUCAUAAUGCAGAGAGCAAUUGAACUGCAGUGAGGGAGCUCUGUCCAAAGUCAAGCCAUGCUAGAUGGGAUUCCUGUUUAGGCAAUGAGCAAGAACAUCCUGUUAUUUCUCUGUGACUGAGCAAGUAUCAUGUUCCUGCUUUGGAUGUUAGCAGUGUCACUGUUCUAAGGGUGAAUGUCCCCUGCUGUGAACCACAGCUGCUGUCACAUGAGCUGA
rnacentral:lncRNA from 1 species